CUGCACCCACUGAUAGGCCUUGAACAGUUUGUUGUUGUUCAUUUGGUUUGCACUGGGAUGCAAAAGAAGGAAAUCCCUGCGCUUUCUGCCUGUCUUCGUGGCAGCUCAGAUUGAAUAGGGGAAUACAUCU